rnacentral:lncRNA from 1 species
GCUUGAGUUGGAAACAGGUCUUGGGGAUUUAGGUUCAUGGUAAGUUAACACACUUCAUGACCUGAUAUUUGUGAUGUCUCUGCUAUUAGUUACAGGCCUGAACUCAUCUUGCAAUGGUGUCCUGAGUUUGUUGCUGUCUUGUCCAGUAGGUUUUGCCUUGUGCAUCAUGGCUUCAACUUGCUUCACCAUUUGGCUAGUUUUAGUUGUGAGUCUUCUUUUCUGCAGGAUUUAUACAUUUAUAACAUGCUGCCAACUGGUUUCUUUUUGCAGGUUUGGUUAUUGUUUGAAUAAUUGUUUGUCUUGCAGGUCACAGGUUGUAACUUUGGUGAAAUUCGUUGGAUGGUUGGAAGUUCCGUGUGGUGAUGUUGGUUUGUUGCAAGUUGUGUGCCUUGAUGCACUGCUUUCUGCAGAAUUUAUUUGGUUUAUGGCAUGGGGUUUCACAGGUAAAGGCAAUCAUAGCCAGAGUGGUACAUGCAGACACAACAAUAACAAAGGGAGCCAUAGAGAAACUGCUUCCCAACUUCAAAGAUAUUUCUUUGGAAAAUUGUUUCCUCUCAACAAAACAGCAAACCAGC